rnacentral:miRNA from 1 species
CAAUAAAUCACAAUCUUCUAUGA